GUGGAUUAGAUACCCUGGUAGUCCACGCUGUAAACGAUGAUCACUAGGUGUAGCGGGUACUCAUUCCUGCUGUGCCGCAGCUAACGCGUUAAGUGAUCCGCCUGGGGAUUACGGUCGCAAGACUAAAACUCAAAGGAAUUGACGGGGGCCCGCACAAGCGGUGGAGUAUGUGGUUUAAUUCGACGCAACGCGAAGAACCUUACCUGGGCUUGACAUCCCCGGACAUGCGUAGAAAUACGUCCUUCUCCUUCGGGAGACCGGGAGACAGGUGCUGCACGGCUGUCGCCAACU
rnacentral:rRNA from 1 species